rnacentral:lncRNA from 1 species
UUACCAACAUUUCUUAUUUAUCCUUAAGUUAAGGGCAAAAUUGGCAUUUUAAUUUUUUUUGAACUGUGGUAGAUAUUUAACUCACGUUUAACCCAAGUUAACUUAACAGGAGAUAACUGCGGGGGUAUUUUGUAAAAACGGUGGAACAUAUAAGAAAUAUUUUAGAAAGAAAAAAAUAAAAAUAAAUCGAAUAUUUUCAAACAUACGAGGGAUAUAUAGGCAAUUAUCGAAAAAAAAACUCUAAACUUGCAAAAUAAGAUUU